GGUGCUUUUUGUAGAACGAGCCAACGAGUUACGGUAUGUAGCAAGGUUAAGUACUUAAGGUACGGAGCCGAAGGGAAACCGAGUCUGAAUAGGGCGACUAGUUGCAUGCCGUAGACCCGAAACCGGGUGACCUAUCCAUGGCCAGGUUGAAGCGAGGGUAAAACCUCGUGGAGGACCGAACCACGUUGCUGUUGAAAAAGCAUGGGAUGAGCUGUGGAUAGCGGAGAAAUUCCAAUCGAACCCGGAGAUAGCUGGUUCUCUCCGAAAUAGCUUUAGGGCUAGCGUCGAGUAUGAGUAGUGGAGGUAGAGCACUGAAUGGGCUAGGGGGCAUAGCGCUUACCGAACCUUAUCAAACUCCGAAUGCCACAUACUUUGAGCUCGGCAGUCAGACUACGAAUGAUAAGAUCCGUGGUCAAAAGGGAAACAGCCCAGAUCGUCAGCUAAGGUCCCAAAGUGUAAGUUAAGUGGGAAAGGAUGUGAGAUUUCUAAGACAACUAGGAUGUUGGCUUAGAAGCAGCCAUUCAUUAAAAGAGUGCGUAAUAGCUCACUAGUCGAGAGAUCUUGCGCCGAAAAUGUAACGGGGCUAAACUUACC
rnacentral:rRNA from 1 species